rnacentral:rRNA from 1 species
AGAGUUGAUUAUGGCUCAGGAUGAACGCUAGCGACAGGCUAACACAUGCAAGUCGAGGGGCAGCACGGGAGUAGCAAUACAACUGGUGGCGACCGGCGCACGGGUGAGUAACGCGUAUGCAACCUACCUAUCAGAGGGGAAUAACCCGGCGAAAGUCGGACUAAUACCGCAUAAAACAGGGGCACCGCAUGGUGAUAUUUGUUAAAGAGAUUCGCUGAUAGAUGGGCAUGCGUUCCAUUAGGUAGUUGGUGAGGUAACGGCUCACCAAGCCGACGAUGGAUAGGGGAACUGAGAGGUUGGUCCCCCACACUGGUACUGAGACACGGACCAGACUCCUACGGGAGGCAGCAGUGAGGAAUAUUGGUCAAUGGGCGGGAGCCUGAACCAGCCAAGUCGCGUGAAGGAAGAAGGAUCUAUGGUUCGUAAACUUCUUUUGCAGGGGAAUAAAGUGCAGGACGUGUCCUGUUUUGUAUGUACCCUGAGAAUAAGGAUCGGCUAACUCCGUGCCAGCCGCCGC